rnacentral:ncRNA from 1 species
AAAAUUAACACUUCGUUCUGAUGCUAAGUUAGUUAAGACUUCUAAACUUCAUAUGGUAAACUAAAAGCUUUGUGAACAAUUUACUGUCCUAGCAAAAUGUUUAACACAUUAAACCUCGACCUUAAAAACAGGGCAUAACACGCUCUACGGAAUCAUCCCACAACACCAAUGACCUAUAUUGUCUAUAGCUAGGAAACUAGGCAACAGAGAUAGUCAAUCACAAGUGACUAAAUAAGGUGCCAGCAGUCGCGGUUACACCUAAUCUUGAGACUAAUUUUUACAAAAAAGAGGCCUAUAUAACUGAUCUCAAUUUUACCUGUAAAAGUGAAAUUUUAACUUAUACAAAUAUAUCCAAACAGAUCUUAAUUUUACCCUCAACAAACCACACCCACAAGACAGGGAUUAGAUACCCCACUAUUGCGUGGCUCAACACAACAAAUACUAAAAACGAAAGUUCCAAACUUAAAGAACGUGGCGGUGUUCUACACCUUAUUAGGGGAUCCUGUGGCUUAAUUCGAUAAUCCACGACCAAUAAAGCUUUAUUAGUUCACAGCUUAUGUAUGGCCGUCUUAUGCCUGCACACCAAUGUUAUAACAGGAGACAAUUAAAGCCAAUCUUUAACAAUACAGGUGACAUAUAGCCUAUAUAAAGCAGUUCAUGGGAUACAAAUAACUACUAUUACCCGAAGGUAACUUGAAACUUUUACAAAAAGGAGGACUUAAGAGUAAGAUUAAAACAACAUUUUGAUCUGAACAAGAUCUAGAACGCGCACAAAUCGCCCGUCACUCCCGGGCUCUAAUCGGGAUAAGUCGUAACACAGUAGGGGUAACGGAAGCUGCCCCUAAU